AUAGCAGCCACUCUUUCCUGAAACUGCCUUCCAACCAGGUGUGCAGUUUCUGAAAUUCUACCAAUGGCUUUACUUCCUCCAGGUGUCUUCUGGAGGAGUAAGGAACCGUGACCAGACAGACACAAAUACAUAUGGCCAUUAGUAAUAUCAUUACCAAGCUAACUACAGGAAUCCAGGGCAGUAUGCAGGCAUAAGAGGUCCAGGAAGAGCAGAACAGAAGACAGUUGUGUGGAGAGCAAGUGAAGAGAGGCACUGAAGACAAACUCUCCCAUCCUUCUGACUUUACCUGGUCCCAGUCCUGGGAGGUGGAACUGAUGGGAUUAAUAAGAAACCAGGCAUGAGAAGCCAUGCAGAUGUAAAUUUGGAAAUCAACAUAUUGAUAGUUGGAGUCACUGGAGUAGGAUGUCUGCCAGCUCCUCUCCAGCCACCCAUUCUCAUAGCGGGUGAGCCAGACCACAUCUGCUAAUCCAGGAGCACAGCUCAGGACUAGUCUAUGCGGAUGGAAUCUCUCUCCAGCCUUUUCUCUAUGUCAGUUUUAUCUACCUGGCAAGAAAAAACAAAAACAACCCCAAAACAACCCCUCCCCACAAACACAACACAAAACAAGGGACUCGAAAAGUUGGAGAAAACCUUUUAAUGUGUUUCUGUAAAAUCCUUUCUUAGGAGGUUUAGUACAGGUACUACCCAUCAGCAACUUAGCCGGCCAGGUGAGUUGGUGCAGAAGGGCUUCGGCUGAAUUUAUACCAGAGCCAUCGGGAGUGACUUGGCCACCUCUCCCAAUUACCACAAGGAAGUCUUAAAAUUGAAUUUCAGUUUCAGCAGAUACUUCAGAUUUACCUGAGCAAUAUCAUAGACAAUGUACUCAUUAUAUAGUAGACAAGUGUCAUUCACACCAGAUGAAAUCCCAGUCCCAAGAGGAACCUCUGCACCAUCCAGAGUAAUACUAGCUGAAGGGUCAGGGGUAGUUUUGCCCAAACCUUUGACACUGUGCUUGCCCUUGGGUAACUUGCUGAUAUGUGAAGCGUGCUUCAGUUCAUACAUUUUCCAAGGGCAACUUCUCCCAACAGGAUUAAGCCUGUUGGGCCUCCCUGAGAUGUAUGGCAGUAGUUGGCACUCUUGGAGGCCAUGUCAGCGAAAUAGAUCCCUUUACCAAACAUGUAGCCCGUCAUGGGCACUUCAGGCGGGGCUAUCCAAAGACCCUGGGACAGGAUCCCAGCAAAGCUGGUGGUUGUGGACCCGGGGCAUGGGCCUUUCUAUCUUUUGCUCUUGGUUUAUAUUUUCCUAUCCACCAGUUCUUCUUUAAAAUAAAUGUAUUUGAGUCAAAACAAUAGAUCAAUAAAAUAUACUAAGUAAAUAA
rnacentral:lncRNA from 1 species